UAGAAAACAGAGUAUAUAUGUACGUUGAUAUAUUUAGACGAAAGUCUUAGAAGAUGGGAGGAAGCUAAGCAGUGUUGAACACGUAUGUGAUCGGGUUUACGGCCGUGACGACCCCAUCCACCGUCGAACAAUUACGGCGAACAUCAGGAAGCGCACCGUUCUGUAAACGAAACAACAACGGAGUGUCUUCGUUAGUCUCUCAGCAUGAUCUUACGUCACGGGAAUGUAAUCGUAAGAACGAACGUUCGUUCGCUAUCUUCUAGGACGUAGAAAUCUAUGCGAACGCUUGUUAAAGGAAAGUAACGAUCUAACGCGAAAUUUUCCCACGAGAGGCAACUCUUCCAUGAAGAUUAAGAUAUAUCGAACGACUUGUCGAUAAUCGAAAUUCGCCAUCCUUGAAUCCUUGGACUUUGUACAUUAUUCUUUGUAAAUAUGAUGAUCAAUGAGCUGAUGAUAAUUAAUGGUUGUCUCAUAAAAUAAUCUAAAUCUUAAGAUUAAUGAAUUGAUAUAUCUCCGUUUCUCUCGAAAGUGAUGAAAGAAGGAAAAGAGAAAGCUUAUUCGCAAAGAUUCAAGGUUGAAAAAUUUGCAUACUUCGAAUAAACGGAUACUUGGAAGAUUUCUUCGAUAAGACAAAGGACGAUGAUUCAGAGAUCGGAGGAGAGAAGUACAUGGUAGAUGACACCAGAUUCCUACCAACUGGAACAUUACGUCACUAUCUCCCUUUCAAGCACCCAUGUAAAGUACAUACACGCUCUCCACGCUUCAAAGUUUUAUACUCGAAAUACCGAUCUCUCCCUCUUUGUCGAAGAGAUAUCGCUGACUAAUACGACGAUUUUAAGAAUACCAUUUCCCUUUUCGCAUCUUUUAUUGUCGUUGUUCGAACCACGCUAGCUAGUAUCUUCCGGCUGGUAAAUAUAAAUCGUAUAAUAUGCUAAAUAUAAUUUCGUUCGAUUAAUAUAGAAAAUAGAAACAACAAAAAGGGACAAACUCGUUGACGAACUAUGUCUAAUAAAUCUAGAUUUAUAACAAGAAGGAAAUACAUUUAACUGCUUCGAAAGUUCGAGCAAAGUAGAAAUCUCGAAAUCUUCUGGACUUACCGUUCCUAGAGAAGUCAACUCUACGUUCUAAUAAUAGCGGAGCUAAUUAAUUCUCAAACACGUAGGUAAUGUACUUGCAACCGCGUAGACGUUUCUGGUUAGCUAAAAUCCGUAAAGUCGUUACGUAGUCACUUAGGACACUGUGGUAAGAAAACGAUAUCUGUAAAGGUCACGAACGUACUCGUUCUAGAAGGGUAGCUCGAAUGCAUGAGAAAAAAAAAAGAAACGAAAAAAAAGUGAAAGAACGAAUAUAACUCAAAGACGAUGAUCUAACAGAUUUCUCUUUUUGAGUAAUAUCCAAGAACCUAGUUGGCACAACAGCAACAACAACAAUAACAACGGGAUAAUUAUAUUUAGAUAGAGACAAGUAUUAUGAAACGUUUUAUCCAACGUUUUUAUUUACGUAAACGUUUUAUUUAUUAAUUACUUGAAAAUACAAACAGUAAAUAACAAACUUUAUGACUCGAUAAUUAUAAGAUUAUAUAUUAAAUAAUUACAAACCUUUAAUUAAG